UGCCCAGCAACUCCUAUCCCUACCUCCACGCGGUACCGGCCGGAAACUAUGAGCAACCUUAGGGAAGAUCGGGUAACCAACCCCGGUGGGAUCUUUGGUCGUAGGCUGACAGGGAAGG
rnacentral:ribozyme from 1 species